GGGUCCUUGGAAAAAAGGUUUGUGUGGUUUGUACUACAGACCGACUCCACACGCUUCAGUUAAAAGGAUGCCAUGCACUGGCACUUAUAUGUUUUUCUGGACAAGCUUAGUUUAUACCUCGCAGGGAGUUUUGUGUCCAUCCCUAAGGAAGCGACAGCAUCCGUAUCUGCCCUAUGGGACAGUAAAUGAGCAAAUGCUGGAUAGGAAAUGAUUGACAGGACCCCAGCGUCUACCUCUUUAGACGUGGAGGCUCUUGGAAGCAUGGAGCUGAGAAUAGACUGGUGUAAAUGACCCAAAUGAGAAGAAGGUUUUAUGAUUUGGAUGGCUGAAAAACUCAUUAUAUGGACUAUGGAUGCUCUCUUCCGUCUGUGAUAUAAAGAUUAUUACUUGGCAGUGCUGAAUGUCAUCGGCUAAAGCAUGUACAACAGACUCCGGACCACCCUUGGCACCGAAAAGAUUCAGUCCAUCCAAAGCUUCCAAAGCUGCCUGAAUAAACACAUAGUACAAAUCAUGCUGCUUUAUCUCACUGGCAUUGAUACUUUAAUUUAUGCAAUUUUAUACCAACAACCUAAACAUUUUACCUUUGCCAUGCCGAUAGAGCUGACAUUAAGCUCAGGGAUGCCUUGAUUCGUUUUGUCUCCUCGUUCCCACAUUCCAAAAUCCUGACAAGAAUAAAACAUUAAACAAUAUGAAAUCUC